UUAAGCGACUAAGCGUACACGGUGGAUGCCCUGGCAGUCAGAGGCGAUGAAGGACGUGCUAAUCUGCGAUAAGCGUCGGUAAGGUGAUAUGAACCGUUAUAACCGGCGAUUUCCGAAUGGGGAAACCCAGUGUGAUUCGUCACACUAUCAUUAACUGAAUCCAUAGGUUAAUGAGGCGAACCGGGGGAACUGAAACAUCUAAGUACCCCGAGGAAAAGAAAUCAACCGAGAUUCCCCCAGUAGCGGCGAGCGAACGGGGAGGAGCCCAGAGCCUGAAUCAGUGUGUGUGUUAGUGGAAGCGUCUGGAAAGGCGCGCGAUACAGGGUGACAGCCCCGUACACAAAAAUGCACAUGCUGUGAGCUCGAUGAGUAGGGCGGGACACGUGGUAUCCUGUCUGAAUAUGGGGGGACCAUCCUCCAAGGCUAAAUACUCCUGACUGACCGAUAGUGAACCAGUACCGUGAGGGAAAGGCGAAAAGAACCCCGGCGAGGGGAGUGAAAAAGAACCUGAAACCGUGUACGUACAAGCAGUGGGAGCACAGAGCAAUCUGUGUGACUGCGUACCUUUUGUAUAAUGGGUCAGCGACUUAUAUUCUGUAGCAAGGUUAACCGAAUAGGGGAGCCGAAGGGAAACCGAGUCUUAACUGGGCGUUAAGUUGCAGGGUAUAGACCGAAACCCGGUGAUCUAGCCAUGGGCAGGUUGAAGGUUGGGUAACACUAACUGGAGGACCGAACCGACUAAUGUUGAAAAAUUAGCGGAUGACUUGUGGCUGGGGGUGAAAGGCCAAUCAAACCGGGAGAUAGCUGGUUCUCCCCGAAAGCUAUUUAGGUAGCGCCUCGUGAAUUCAUCUCCGGGGGUAGAGCACUGUUUCGGCAAGGGGGUCAUCCCGACUUACCAACCCGAUGCAAACUGCGAAUACCGGAGAAUGUUAUCACGGGAGACACACGGCGGGUGCUAACGUCCGUCGUGAAGAGGGAAACAACCCAGACCGCCAGCUAAGGUCCCAAAGUCAUGGUUAAGUGGGAAACGAUGUGGGAAGGCCCAGACAGCCAGGAUGUUGGCUUAGAAGCAGCCAUCAUUUAAAGAAAGCGUAAUAGCUCACUGGUCGAGUCGGCCUGCGCGGAAGAUGUAACGGGGCUAAACCAUGCACCGAAGCUGCGGCAGCGACACUGUGUGUUGUUGGGUAGGGGAGCGUUCUGUAAGCCUGUGAAGGUGUACUGUGAGGAUGCUGGAGGUAUCAGAAGUGCGAAUGCUGACAUAAGUAACGAUAAAGCGGGUGAAAAGCCCGCUCGCCGGAAGACCAAGGGUUCCUGUCCAACGUUAAUCGGGGCAGGGUGAGUCGACCCCUAAGGCGAGGCCGAAAGGCGUAGUCGAUGGGAAACAGGUUAAUAUUCCUGUACUUGGUGUUACUGCGAAGGGGGGACGGAGAAGGCUAUGUUGGCCGGGCGACGGUUGUCCCGGUUUAAGCGUGUAGGCUGGUUUUCCAGGCAAAUCCGGAAAAUCAAGGCUGAGGCGUGAUGACGAGGCACUACGGUGCUGAAGCAACAAAUGCCCUGCUUCCAGGAAAAGCCUCUAAGCAUCAGGUAACAUCAAAUCGUACCCCAAACCGACACAGGUGGUCAGGUAGAGAAUACCAAGGCGCUUGAGAGAACUCGGGUGAAGGAACUAGGCAAAAUGGUGCCGUAACUUCGGGAGAAGGCACGCUGAUAUGUAGGUGAAGUCCCUCGCGGAUGGAGCUGAAAUCAGUCGAAGAUACCAGCUGGCUGCAACUGUUUAUUAAAAACACAGCACUGUGCAAACACGAAAGUGGACGUAUACGGUGUGACGCCUGCCCGGUGCCGGAAGGUUAAUUGAUGGGGUCAGCGCAAGCGAAGCUCUUGAUCGAAGCCCCGGUAAACGGCGGCCGUAACUAUAACGGUCCUAAGGUAGCGAAAUUCCUUGUCGGGUAAGUUCCGACCUGCACGAAUGGCGUAAUGAUGGCCAGGCUGUCUCCACCCGAGACUCAGUGAAAUUGAACUCGCUGUGAAGAUGCAGUGUACCCGCGGCAAGACGGAAAGACCCCGUGAACCUUUACUAUAGCUUGACACUGAACAUUGAGCCUUGAUGUGUAGGAUAGGUGGGAGGCUUUGAAGUGUGGACGCCAGUCUGCAUGGAGCCGACCUUGAAAUACCACCCUUUAAUGUUUGAUGUUCUAACGUGGACCCGUGAUCCGGGUUGCGGACAGUGUCUGGUGGGUAGUUUGACUGGGGCGGUCUCCUCCUAAAGAGUAACGGAGGAGCACGAAGGUUGGCUAAUCCUGGUCGGACAUCAGGAGGUUAGUGCAAUGGCAUAAGCCAGCUUGACUGCGAGCGUGACGGCGCGAGCAGGUGCGAAAGCAGGUCAUAGUGAUCCGGUGGUUCUGAAUGGAAGGGCCAUCGCUCAACGGAUAAAAGGUACUCCGGGGAUAACAGGCUGAUACCGCCCAAGAGUUCAUAUCGACGGCGGUGUUUGGCACCUCGAUGUCGGCUCAUCACAUCCUGGGGCUGAAGUAGGUCCCAAGGGUAUGGCUGUUCGCCAUUUAAAGUGGUACGCGAGCUGGGUUUAGAACGUCGUGAGACAGUUCGGUCCCUAUCUGCCGUGGGCGCUGGAGAACUGAGGGGGGCUGCUCCUAGUACGAGAGGACCGGAGUGGACGCAUCACUGGUGUUCGGGUUGUCAUGCCAAUGGCACUGCCCGGUAGCUAAAUGCGGAAGAGAUAAGUGCUGAAAGCAUCUAAGCACGAAACUUGCCCCGAGAUGAGUUCUCCCUGACCCUUUAAGGGUCCUGAAGGAACGUUGAAGACGACGACGUUGAUAGGCCGGGUGUGUAAGCGCAGCGAUGCGUUGAGCUAACCGGUACUAAUGAACCGUGAGGCUUAACCUU
rnacentral:rRNA from 1 species